CCCUUAGAUGUUCUGGGCCGCACGCGCGCUACACUGACGAAUGCAACGAGCUUAUAACCUUGGCCGAAAGGUCUGGGUAAUCUCCAAAUUUCGUCGUGAUGGGGAUAGAUUAUUGCAAUUAUUAAUCUUCAACGAGGAAUGCCUAGUAAGCGCAAGUCAUCAGCUUGCGUUGAUUACGUCCCUGCCCUUUGUACACACCGCCCGUCGCUCCUACCGAUUGAGUGGUCCGGUGAAGCGUUCGGACCGUGGCCUUUGGACGGUUCGCCGUCUGUUGGCUGCGGGAAGUUCGUUAAACCUUAUCAUUUAGAGGAAGGAGAANUCGUANCA
rnacentral:rRNA from 1 species